AAGUGCGAUCCUACCAGCACUAAUGCACCGGAUCCCAUCAGAACUCCGCAGUUAAGCGCGCUUGGGCGAGAGAAGUACUAGGAUGAGUGACCUCCUAGGAAGUCCUCGUGUUGCACCUC
rfam:Lupinus angustifolius cultivar Tanjil contig_22471, whole genome shotgun sequence.